rnacentral:lncRNA from 1 species
AUCUUGAGCCUUCAGGAGUUACUUCUUUGAGGUCCUGAUGAGGCUGUUUGUCUUUCUGUUGGCUUCAAUCCACUGAUGGCCAGAGUCUCCAGGAAUCAUUGUCAAUAUCAUCAGCAAGAACAAUUUCUUUGGGGUUAUAUCAACACCAAAUUUGAUCAUCAUAUCAACCAGUAUACAGUUCUGGAGCAACCAAGAUUUCUUCAGUAUUUAAAAAAAAAAAAAAAGCCUAUGUAGUAUGACGUGAUACCCACUUCAGUUUGGCCUAUGAGAAGUCCGCCAAAGCAAAAUUUUGGAGCAAUUAGCUGUUCCUUUGAUGACUGUGGGUCGUUACUGGCAUCAUCCUUGAAAAACAUCUCCACUUUAGGGCUCUAAGGAUAGCGGGUCCAUAUCGCCCAGACCACUGUCAGCCCUCAAGACUCCCUCCUCUUUUUUCCAUCACUCAGCCCCUACCCCUCACACAACGAACCCACUCCCACCUCCAAACUUGCCUCUCCUCUGAGUCCAGCCUGAACCUGAAUCGCCCGCUCAUCCAGCUUGAAGUAUGGACCCGACACAGCCCCACGGAUGAUGACGGACACGGGGCCCAGUGUAUCUCUGGGAGGCACAACAGUGUAGAGGAGUCCCCCUCUCUCCCAGAGGCAGGAGAUGGACUUCUUUGUUCUGUCCAAGAUGUACUGACACGACAGUCACCACAAGGGAGCAGAAGUAAGUUCCCAGUGGGCUUAGGUUAUCCACGUGGCACCGGAUCAGCACCUGCCACAGUGAGAAACCAGCAAGAGUGGGUGAAGGGACUUGUGCUGGGGAUGACUGAAUGUGUGUGUGUGUGUGUGUGUGUGUGUGUGUGUGUGUGUACAUGCAUGUGUGUGUUCAUGGCCAGAAAGGAUAGGGUCGGCCUUGUCCCAAGCACACCUAGGAGGAGGAGCGUCUGAGAGUGACCCAUCUCUUUGGAGGGAGUGGAGGUUUCCUCCCAUAUAUUCACUUUCUCCAGGUCACCCCUUUCUGUUCAUAAUUAUUCCUGGUUUUCUAUAGAGAUUUGGGCUUUUUUCUUUGAUUUAAUCAAAACCAGCCCCGAGGUAAAUAUUGACUCAAAGACACUGACUAUGCCCCUGUGAUUUCCUACAGGUAUUGGAUAGGAGAGGUGAGGGACUGCAUCCCAGAUUUGUGUCUGUGGAAGUGAUUCCUAUAUCUGGGGUGCUGUUGGAGCUUGGUCAACAGUGAGAUAAUGUUUCAGAUGCUACAGGAAAGUGUAAUUAGAAAGACUUUGAUACUGGGUCAAAGAGGAGGAGGGGAUAAAGGAAACAUGUUUUUUGAGCACUUGUUUAUGUGUCAAGCUCUGCUAGGGGCUUCAUGUUCUGUAUCCCAUUUACUGCUUACAACAACCGAAGGUUUUUCUGUGACUACUUUCCUUGCCUGUAAAAUGAAGGUGAUAACUGCUCUGUAUGCCUGGAGAGGUCUUUGAGAGAAUCCAAAAAAUUAUUGAAAGCAGAAGUAAGGGUGCUAUGGAAAAUGUCAAAAGCUGACUUAAAUAGGGAGUGAGGGAAGAAUACUUUACCUUCAAUUUUGCAGCGACUGCAUCCUCAGGAAAUAUAGCUUCUGCGGUUUGUCCUUCAGGUAAGUAGAGUCCAGUACUCACCCAGGAAUGUCUGUUAUCUGAUAAGAACCAUGGGAAAGGUUGAGAUCUUCCCAUCCCCAUGGCUCCACAUUGGUGGAGAAUUCCCGUAAUCGCUUCCAGAGCUAGUGGAUCUCCCGUGCACACCUCAACCCAGCCAGACUGCCCUAACUGAGGCCUCCCAUACCUCACUUACAAUUCCUGGUCUCCAUCUCCUUAAAAGUUUAUGAGAAAGAAUGACGAUGUGGUUUGGUUCUGUGUCUCCACCCAAAGCUCAUCUUAAAUUGUAAUCCCCAUGUGUCAAGGGAGGAACCUGGUGGGAGGUGAUGGGAUUAUGGGGGAUGGUUUCCCCAUGCUGUUCUUGUGAUAGUGAGUGAGUCUCCUGAGAUCCGAUGGUGUAAAAAGUGGCAGUUCUUCCUCUGCUUGCACUUCCCUUCUCCCUCUUGCUGCCUUGGGGAAGAAGGGGCCCACUUCCCCUUUGCCUUCUGCCAUAAUUGUGAGUUUCCUGAGGCCUCCCCAGCCAUGCAGAACUGAGUCAACUAAACCUCUUUCCUUUACAGAUUACACAGUAUCAGGCUUUUAUUUAUAGCAGUGGGAAAAUGGACUAAUACAAAUGGCCUUCAUGAGGAAGAGGGUCCCUAGAAUGCCGCUGAAGUUAUUCAGUCCACCACUUCUGCAAUCCUACACUUCCGUAUCCUCUCUCACCAGUCUAUACCUUCACUGAUCUCAAUGCUGAUUGGAGAUUCUGUGAAACAGACAGAAGAGGGAGUCCAAUCAUGAAGCAGCAAGGAGCUGUCAGUUCCUGAUUUGACCAUUUCUUAUGCCAAGGAUAUCAGGUAGGCCUGAGAGCUGCCCCUGAUGACUGGGUUUUUCUUAUUCACAAGUGGUAAGCCCUUUUCUUUGACAUUUUUAGGAUGUCUUUGUGCACAGACGCAUCGAUGGGAAUCCCUUCCUGGGGGACUUGACACAUGUAGGAAGAGUCUUCUAUGAGUUUCUCCAGCCAGUUCGUUUCUAAAUUUCUUCCCUUGUUGUGCAGCAUGGACUCAAAUUGGGACAGAGCUCUGUGGAUGUGGUAGUUUGUCACCCCAGGCAUGGGGACUGGGAAGAGACCUUUAUGGCAUCUCUUAUCUAAGAUGCCUAGGCCAGAGCAUUUAAGAAACCUGUUUUCUGGAAACUGACAUAAACUGUUAAAAUUUGGGUUUCUGGAGGCCGAAAACCAGGCCUGCUUGCCAAUCGGCAAUCCUCCACCUUCUACAGCAAAUUCUACUAUCUUCUUGACAUUCACGUCAGUGAGUGAGUGACAGCAAAAGACCUUUAGGUCACUGACGAGAAGGUCUGUUCUGGUCCACUGUAAGUUAUUUUUUGGUAACAUAGGACCCAACUUGUGCAUUUCUGAGUUCAACCCAGUUUUUCCAUUCUGGUCCGCUGCUGGCCAACACAGUGCAUUGACCACAAAUAGGCUAAACCUGUGAUCCAAUAUCAAACGCUCAUGACCUGCCAGCACUACAUGCCCGCGGCCAUAGUGGGCAGCUGCAGGAAAGCAGCCAAAGGAGCUAUCUAUUCCUAAGGGCAAGGCAGCGACCCGUGCACCAGCAGCUGACAGGGGGAUCCUCCUGUCCUGAGGUCCAGCUUUGACAUCCCUUCAAGGAGCUGCUCUUGAUCCUGCCUGAGAUCCUCCGAAACCUGGAAAGGAGAUAUUUCUCACAUUAGUGCCUGUAGGACAUGUGAGUGUAAAAUAGAGCAGAAGAGAAUACCCAAGACCUGAGCUUGUUUGGUACAAAACUUUAAGAGGCAAGAGAAGAAAUGCUAUUUUAAUCUUGCUUUAUACACCUUCAGUUUUAACUAGCAGUAAUUAAUAUCAUAAAAUGAUGGUAUUUUCAUCUAUAGGCAGAAUAUAUGUUGAAAUGGGUGCAUACAUUCUCCCAGAUACGUUUUCCAGGAUGAACUACUGUCUUAGUAAACAUUCUAUCCUGAUUUAUAAGUUGUUUAUUUAAAUAGUUAAAAAUAUAAAAUAAAUAAAGCUUGGAAAACAGUCUCACAUUCCCUUAGAAAGUAGUCCUGCUUAUAAAUUUGAACGGCUUAUAUUCCACAACAUGUGCACACAUUCACACACACAACAUUUAAAAAGGCUGUGAAGUUCUCAAAUUAUCCUUGUCAGAGCUCUGAACUAUCUUUUGUUAUAUUUACUUUUCGCUGUUUUUAAGUAGACCCACUGGAAUUAUUAUAUGAAGAAAAAUGUUUAGUUCAUUCCUUGUUAUCAAUUAAGUCACCAAAGCAUAACCACUUUUUAAAACUGUUAAAGUAUUUUAAUAUGGUAUUAAAUUGUGUUUUAAUUACAUCUCUUGGUACAGACAUAAUUGUGUUAAAAUGCAACAAUUAAAAAUGAGUGAAACCCACAGCUUAUAGAAACAGUGUACACAGAAAAAUCCAAACUAAUAUUGAAAGUGUUAUUGAAAGUAUAGAGAAGUGACUGGAAGAGCAUAUAUUAGAAUAUUUUCAGUGAGCUCUGGGUAGAAUCACUACCCAGAUGGGAUUUUAAAAAUGCUUUUCUAUAUUUUUUCUGAUUUUAUUUUCAUCAUCAGAAAAAUAACAGUUACAUAUUUUACAUUUUUGUUUAUUGAUUUCACUGAAUACUGUGACAACAACCACUGUAAGUUACUUCUUAAUUCAUUUUCAGCAUAAAGUUGAGAAUGUGCUCUGACAGUUUCUCGUUUCACUUUCAAAUCAAUGAAUAGCAUUUUAAUUUGAGCAUCAAUUCUGCCUAGAGGUUUCAUGACUAAUUUUUCAAGUUAAUGUCUCCAAAAACAAAACGAAAGAAAAACUCUUUAUGGUUGAGAUUUUCUAGGAGUGAACACACAUUGCUGCUGUUACCAUGAAACAACAAUAUCUAGAGAAAGGGAUGUUGUAGUUAACAAAAUAUUAAGCCUAGUGAUGCAUAAGCAGAAACAUCCUUUUUGUUUUAACCCUUGAGUUUUUGGAUGGAGAGAGAGGCUUCUAAAAUAUAUCAGUAUAGCUUAGUGGUUAAAUGCUCUGACUCUGGAAUUAAUGUGAUGCAGCAUAAACAAACAACAAACAAACAAAUAAAUAAAGCAAUCAAUUUUCUCGCUAUUCCUAUAGAUAACAACAAAGCAGCUGACAAAAUUUAUUUUUCAUUUAAAAAAACAAAAAACUAAAUCUUAGGAAGGAAAACUUCUUAUCUGUACAGACUGAGUAUCCGUUAGAAUAUGUAAUAUUGGUCCAGGCGCAGUGGCUCAGGCCUGUAAUCCCAUCAUUUGGGAGGCAAAGGUGGGCGAAUCACAAGGUCACCAUUUUGAGACCAGUCUGGUCAAUAUGGAGAAACCCCAUCUCUACUAAAAAUACAAAAAUUAGCCAGGCAUGGUGGUGCAUGCCUGGAGUCCCAGUUACUCAGGAGGCUGAGGUAGAAGAAUCGCUUGAUCCAGGGAGAUGGAGGUUGCAGUUAGCCAAGAUUGUGCCACUGCACCACUCCAGCCUGGGUGACAGAGCAAGACUCCUUAAAAAAAAAAAAAAAAAAAAAAAAAAAUAUAUAUAUAUAUAUAUCUCAUACAACAUUAGAAGCAUUCCUGUGAAAUCAGGAAAAAAAGCAAGGCUGCUCUCUGUCACUGAUACCAAUCAUAAUUUUAAUGGAUAAUGGACAUCCUAGCUAACAAAAUAAAUAAACGUUACAAUGCAACCAGCAAAAGUUUCCAUUAUUUGUUGGCAAGUAGUGGAAAACAUAAGGAAUCAACUGACAGACUGUUACAACUAAUGAAAGAGUUGAGCAAGUUGUUUAAAUUCAAGAGAAACACAAAUUUUAAUUGUUCUAUUAAGUAGGAAUAGAUAAUUAUAAAAUAUUCCAUUAUUAAUAGAAUAAUACAAUUUUAUAGUUUAUAAAAUGGCAACAAAUUUUAAUGACCAAGAAUAAUUCUACUGAGAAUUGUGCAAAGCCUUUCUGGGAAAAUCUGUAACACUUGAUAAAAAAUAGAAAGCAAUACUUGAAUAAAUGAAGACAUAUUUUUGUUCCUAGAUAAGAAGAUUCAAUAUUUUAAGAUGUUAAUUAUUG